CAGUCGCCGCGGUAACACGAAGGGGGCUAGCGUUGCUCGGAAUCACUGGGCGUAAAGGGUGCGUAGGCGGGUCUUUAAGUCAGGGGUGAAAUCCUGGAGCUCAACUCCAGAACUGCCUUUGAUACUGAAGAUCUUGAGUUCGGGAGAGGUGAGUGGAACUGCGAGUGUAGAGGUGAAAUUCGUAGAUAUUCGCAAGAACACCAGUGGCGAAGGCGGCUCACUGGCCCGAUACUGACGCUGAGGCACGAAAGCGUGGGGAGCAAACAGGAUUAGAUACCCCUGUAGUCCCUGUCUCUUAUAA
rnacentral:rRNA from 1 species